rnacentral:rRNA from 1 species
CCCAGGUCAGGCGGGGCUACCCGCUGAAUUUAAGCAUAUCAAAAACCGGAAGAA